UCCCCAAAUCACGACUAAGUGAUAAGGGGAGGUGGGAGUGCAUAGACAACCAGGAGGUUGCCUAGAAGCAGCCAUCCUUAAAAGAGUGCGUAACAGCUCACUGGUCAAGUGCUCCUGCGCCGAAAUGAACGGGGUUAAGUCGUGUACCGAAGCUGUGGGAUUUGUAUAAAUCGGUAGGGGGGCGUUCCGCGUUAGGUUGAAGUAUCAGCGAGAGCAAGUAUGGACGAAGCGGAAGUGAG
rnacentral:rRNA from 1 species